rnacentral:rRNA from 1 species
AACGAACGCUGGCGGCAGGCCUAACACAUGCAAGUCGAGCGCUCGUAGCAAUACGGGAGUGGCAGACGGGUGAGUAACGCGUGGGAAUCUACCCAUUGGUACGGAAUAACUCAGGGAAACUUGAGCUAAUACCGUAUGUGCCCGAAAGGGGAAAGAUUUAUCGCCAUUGGAUGAGCCCGCGUCGGAUUAGCUAGGUGGUGGGGUAACGGCCCAUCAAGGCGACGAUCCGUAGCUGGUCUGAGAGGAUGAGCAGCCACACUGGUACUGAGACACGGCCCAGACUCCUACGGGAGGCAGCAGUGGGGAAUAUUGGACAAUGGGCGCAAGCCUGAUCCAGCCAUGCCGCGUGAGUGAUGAAGGCCCUAGGGUUGUAAAGCUCUUUCGGCGGGGACGAUAAUGACGGUACCCGCAGAAGAAGCCCCGGCUAACUUCGUGCCAGCCGCCGCAGUAA